rnacentral:rRNA from 1 species
UGAGGAAUAUUGGUCAAUGGGGCGAGAGCCUGAACCAGCCAAGUAGCGUGCGGGACGACGGCCCUAUGGGUUGUAAACCGCUUUUGAUUGGGAACAAAGAGCGCCGCGUGUGGUGCGUUGCGUGUACCUUUCGAAUAAGCAUCGGCUAAUUCCGUGCCAGCAGCCGCGGUAAUACGGAAGAUGCGAGCGUUAUCCGGAUUUAUUGGGUUUAAAGGGAGCGCAGGCCGUGGGUUAAGCGUGUCGUGAAAUUCCGUCGCUCAACGGCGGACGUGCGGCGCGAACUGGUCCACUUGAGUACGCGGGACGUUGGCGGAAUUCGUGGUGUAGCGGUGAAAUGCUUAGAUAUCACGAAGAACUCCGAUUGCGAAGGCAGCUGACGGUAGCGCAACUGACGCUGAGGCUCGAAAGUGCGGGUAUCGAACAGGAUUAGAUACCCUGGUAGU